UUGUGCCAUAGGAGGUUUAGAUGGGAUAUCAGGGAAAAGUCCCUCACAGAAAGGGUGAAACAUUGGAACCGGCUGCCUAGGGAAGUGGGGGAGUCACUGUCCCUGCAAGCGUUCAGAAAAGCUGUAACGAGCACUGAUAUGAACGUUUGGGGUUUGUUUGUUUGUUGUUGUUUUGUUUUUAAUCUGCCUUUUUAAAGGGAAUUGUACUUUAACAGAAUAGCACUAUUCCAUUAUUGCUGUUACAAGAACCCAGUGAUCUCGGGUGCCAGAGACGGGCGUGGUGGGAGCGCUGUCCCCCUGUUUACUCUGUGUUCCAGCAUUAGAGAAACGGCCAGAAAGUGAACGUGAGCAGAUCAGGAGUUAAGAAAAUGCUUAUCAAGGCCUUGGCACUCAGAGUUUCUGCCUGCAGAGAAACAAGAACAGAUGGAUACUUCCUUAACACCUGCUGCUGUGGGAGUCUUCUGAAACACUUGCAAAAUAUAACUACAGCAGAUAUCCCUUUGCCACGUGCCCAGUGAGGGCAACAUUAUGGCUGCAUACUCUGAAACAGGAAAAGGAGAACAACACUGAUGUUCCACAAGGACCUUUGCAUGGAUUUCAUCCACUUCAUGGAUUUAAUGAGAAAUGAAUGGGCAAGCAACAAAGACAAUGUCUCCUUGUAGCUAAAGAAAUCUCAGUCUGAUUCUGAUCGUUAGGCACUUAUGUGCCACCAUAUUACUGGUUAAAAUACUUUUCCAAACUCACUUUUUCUAAGCAAAUAAACAAAAUAGCAGCAAAAUCACAACCAUCACAACAGAGUGAAAAAAUAGCCAUUGCUGAUCUUGCAGAAACAUCCUCUUCCAAUGAACAAUGUGUGCUUUCAGACCUUUGACUAUGGCCAUCUUCAGAGACUGUGAAUAAUUGUUUACUCAUGGGCAUUUAUAGUCUGCAGCUCCUGAAGAGUCCAGAGUGCAGAGGCAGAUUUACCCUGAAGGACUGCAGUCCAUGGAAGGGCACAUGCUGGAGCAGAGGAAAAGAGUCCCUGCUGGAUAAACACUGCUGGGGCAUCACACUUGCCAAGCAGAGCCAAGGCAGUCUACUGUACCUUCUCGUUGCUUUCUACAGCUCAGGCUUUCUUCCAUUAUCUCCUCCAAUCAAGCAUGAUUACAUACUAGCUUCAGCUGGCAUUCUGACAGUUCAAGACAUCAGAUACUGAUAAAUACAAACAGUGCUCUGAAAUUUGGAAAUCAGUAUGUAAGAGGUGGUAUGAUUGAACUUUGGAACCCAUAUAAGCUGUAUCCAUAUAAUACAAUAAAUGCUGCAAAUGGUAUUAGAUGUUUCAAUAUCUAUAUUAUGUACCUUUAAACAUUCCAAAAUACAUUUAAAGUGUCUAGAAGUGUUUCGAAUGGAUCUUGUGCACAUGCAGUGUUCAGUCAAGUGGAUUGCCCCUGCACAGAUUAUGAACGUACCUGAUCUAUAAAACUCAGCUUCCUCUCUGACCUGUGUCUUCCCUUGUGACACCUAGUUAUUUGAGCUAGCAGAUCUAAAAUGUGCUUAAUAGAUUUGUAAUUUUAUCCUGAGUGAAGAAUCAACUCAACUUCUAUCCAAUUUCAGAAUAACAUUUUAAAAAAUGGCAACUGAAAAUCUGCUAAGAUUUUUUUAUCAAAACUGCCGUAUAAGAUUUUUUUUUAAAAAAGCAGUUGCUCUAUAUUUAUGACAGUGGCUCAUCGAUUGCUAAAAACAAAAGCAAAAAUUUCAAAAUAAUGCUAAAAAUGGAGUUAAAGUUUGUAGCUGAGAUUCUUCAAAAAGGUUCUGAAUUUGGGGUUAGAGUACUAUCAUGUCUUUUUAUUUCAUGCUUAAUAACCCUUUUUUGCCUGUGAGAGUCUUUCAUUUCUGAAACUUGGCAGGAUAUAGCAUGUUAUUAAUCGAUAUUGUAAACUCAAGUCUUGAUUUUGUUGGUUGUCCCAAGUAUCAUACAAACAUAAGGAAAACAAAUACCUCAACUGAAAAGCUUAAAUUUAAUUUUGUCACAAUUCAGAUCUUAUGCAGGAAGCUGAGUGGCUUAUAAUUCUUAGGUCAUUAGUUGCUAUAGGACCACAGAUUUUAGAAAGCUGAUGUGCCUUGCAAGGCCAGAUACUUCAUUUAAGCCAAACAAGGAAACAGUACAAUUUCUGACUGUUUUUCUAAUGGCAGAGGGCAAUGGAACUUUAGAGUAGGAUAGUUCAGCUGGAAGAACCUGUAAGACAAUCAUCCAGUCCAGCUGACCGACCAGUUCAGGACUGACCAAAAGUUAAAGCAUGCUAUUAAGGGCAUCCAAAUGACUUUUAAAUGCUGACAGGCCUGGGGCAUUGACCACCUCUCUAGGAAGCCUGUUCCAGUGUUUGACCACCCUCUCAUGCAGAAAUGCUUCCUAAUCCAGUCUGAACCUCCUGUGGUGAAGGCUGAAACUAUUCCCUUCUGUCCUAUCCCUGGCUUGGAGGGAGAAGUGAUCAGAAGAUCCGUCUCCACUUCCCCUCCUCAGGAAGCUGCUCCAGAGAGCAAUGAGGUCACCUCUCAGCAUCCUUCAUUCCAAACUAGACAAACGCCAAGUCCUCAGCUGCUCGUCAUAGGACUUGUGUUCUAAAUUCAGAUUAAGUGUUAAUAGAUGUCCAGAGUUGAAAUUACUAUGUGUGCAUGUGUGUAUACCAGAAGGAAAACACAGGAAACAGCAAGUGAAUUAAGUCAGGGAGCAAUCCAAAGAAGAGAAUUCAGAGUAAAUGUUAUCAGAUGAAAGAUGUGUCUCCUGUUUCUUAUUUUCCACCAUAUUCAGGAAAAUUGGAUUCCAUGUACAUUUUUCAAAAAUAAACAAGAUUACAACAAAGACAUUUCUGAUUGCAAAAUCAAUUUCAGGGGAAAAUAAAACAAUCUGAAAGGUCUCAAACUGCUCAGCUCCUCAAGCUAUAUCUCUGUGGAAUUGUGUCAUGCUAUUCUUCUUAUUAUAGACCUGUAAGAGAAAAGAAGGGUGUUAUUUCCAAAAUGUUAUAGUUUGUGAGUUACAAACUGAAGGAAAAACAAAAAUGUAUU